UACGUAGGGUGCGAGCGUUGUCCGGAAUUAUUGGGCGUAAAGAGCUCGUAGGCGGUGUGUCGCGUCGGCCGUGAAAACCUGGGGCUUAACUCUGGGCGUGCGGUCGAUACGGGCAUCACUAGAGUUCGGCAGGGGAGACUGGAAUUCCUGGUGUAGCGGUGAAAUGCGCAGAUAUCAGGAGGAACACCGGUGGCGAAGGCGGCUUCCUGGCCUGUUCUUGACGCUGAGGCGCGAAAGCUAGGGGAGCAAACGGG
rnacentral:rRNA from 1 species